GUAGGGGGUAGGGUUAACACUAGGUACACAUCCUGUAUGGUAGGGGUUAGGGUUAGAGUUAACACUAGGUACACACCCUGUAUGGUAGGGGUUAGGGUUAACACUAGGUACACACCCUGUAUGGUAGGGGUUAGGGUUAACACUAGGUACACACCCUGUAUGGUAGGGGUUAGUGUUAACACUAGGUACACAUCCUGUAUGGUAGGGGUUAGGGUUAGAGUUAACACUAGGUACACACCCUGUAUGGUAGGGGUUAUAGUUAACACUAGGUACACAUCCUGUAUGGUAGGGGUUAGAGUUAACACUAGGUACACACCCUGUAUGGUAGGGGUUAGAGUUAACACUAGGUACACACCCUGUAUGGUAGGGGUUAGGGUUAACACUAGGUACACACCCUGUAUGGUAGGGGUUAUAGUUAACACUAGGUACACACCCUGUAUGGUAGGGGUUAGAGUUAACACUAGGUACACACCCUGUAUGGUAGGGGUUAUAGUUAACACUAGGUACACAUCCUGUAUGGUAGGGGUUAGGGUUAACACUAGGUUAUACAUUACAUACAGUACUACUACCACUGUCUUUACCAUCACACACACACACACUCUGUCCUUACUGACACACUCAAUCACACACAUACACACUAACACACUCUGUCCUUACUGAGACACACUCACACGCUCACACAAACUCUAUCCUUACUGACACUCACACACACACACACACACACACACACACACACACACACACACACACACACACACACACACAUCAAUAUAGAGCCCUCCUUCCCUCUCACCUGUCUGUCUAAGGGGUUGGUAGGGGUUGACGGUAUGGGUGAAGAUAUGGAUGAGGGUGGGGUUGAGGGUGAAGGUUGGAUGGGGGUGUCUAUUGGAGGUGUCUGUCUCCCCCCUUCCUCCACAUCCCCCAAUAGCUCCACUCUCCCCUCCUCCCCUCCAUCUCUCCCCUCCUCCCCUCCAUCUCUCCCCUCCUCCUCUCCUUUCUGUCGUCUGAGAGUCUCUAUGUGUCUGUUCCUCCUCCUCUCGUCUCGAACACUGAGCAUCUCCUCAAAGUCCAGCUGGAGCAGCUCCGCACUGGAACACACACACAUAAUGAACUGCUGUUCUCCCUGGCAUCUCUACAGAGAAAAACGCACUUUGAAGUGUGUGUGUGUUUGUGUGUGUGUGUAUGUGAGCGUGUGAUAACAGGUGGUUGACCUCUGACCUGGUGAUGCUUGGAGCGUUGUCAUUGGUGGGUUGGUUUCCGGGGGUGUGUCGGGGAGAAAGGUCGUUUUCAGGUGAAAGGUCAUUGUCGGGGUCAGUGCUGCUAUAGCUCCUCUCCUUCCUCCUCCUCUCCCUUUCCACUUCCUCUUCAUCCUCCACUGUCCACUGGCGGGCCAGACUACACAGACCCACACAGGUUAACACUAGUGACCUAGGCUACAACAGGGACUUUUCAGGUUCUCAUUAGAUUUCAAAAAGGCUUUAUAAAGCAGACAUAAAGUCUUCAUAACCACACCAUGCUUCACAAAUCAUUUGUAUGAAGAUGCAGUAGUAUGAACAGCUG
rnacentral:lncRNA from 1 species